AUGGAAAGGGGGUGUUUGGAAUGAAGUUUGAUCCAAGAUCAUAUAUCUUCAAUUUCCUUUGUGUUUGCUUCUUGAUUUACCUUCAUAAAUUUGUUUAUCAUCACUUCAUGCAUGGGAUGGGACUGAUCUCGGACCAGGCUUCAUUCUUCACACCUACCUUUCCUUGUAGAAGCAAUCAACCACAACAAGACAAAGAGUGUUACAAGGAACUCAGCAUAUAGUUAGAAGCAUCGGUUGUACAUGUAUAUGUGUGUGUAUAUAUAUAUAUAUAUAUAUAUAUAUAUAUAUAUGCAGAACUCAUUCUAGUAUCACAUAGGGGUAGGGUACAAGAAUCUCGCUGUCUUCUUGCUCUACGUUUGUGAGCGGUAUUCAGAUUCCUUGGAAUAUAUCAUACAACAUUUUGUUUUUUUUUAAAAGCAUAUGUAUAAUAUGUUGGAUUUAUUUUAUAGGAAAUGUCAGGAAGUUGAAUGCAUGCUUGAUAUGGAUAAAUUGAUAUUUUACUGACUUCUAUGAUAUUGUUUUUGUUAAUUUGGUAUGUAUGGAACAACAUUAAAACUUGUUCUUUAAGCGCGUGGUAAAAGCUAUAUGUCACGUGACAAAGAACUAUAUCAUUGCAAAGUUAUGGCGUGAUGUGAGUUAAAAACUGAAGUCACUUUUAACCUACACCACAUGAAAUUGUGAUGUACACAGUUAUUGGAUAGCUUAUGGUUGAACUUAACUUAUCUUCCUUUU